CAUUCAACCCUCUGAUUUACAACCUGUUGCAGAGACACACAACAAAAGUGUGGGAAGCAGCCAACCCUCUGAUUUACAACCUGUUCCAGAGACAGCCAACCAAAACGGGGAAAGCAGUCAACCUCCUGAUUUAAAACCUGUUGCAGAGGUUUGUCAUAUGUCUUUCUGUUUCUGUGUUGGCAUAUUACAGUUAUAGAUAGUAUACAUAGAGACCUA